UGAAGAUCAUUGUUGCUAUUAUUAUUUUUAGAAUUCCCUUUGAUAUAUGUUUCAUCAUCUGAUGAUGUUAUGAUUAGCCUUCGCUCAGCACUAAGUUGUUGUUGUUGUUGUUCCUCUUCUUCUUAUUCUUCUUGGUGAUCUUCUUUAUUUUAAAUCAUUGUGGUGAUAUGGACUCCUAUAUGUGAUAAGUAUAUUGUUUGUAUUCAUAAAAUUAGUAGUAUAUUU
rnacentral:lncRNA from 1 species